UACAGAGGGGGGCAAGCGUUUGUUCGGAAUUACUGGGCGUAAAGGGCGCGUAGGCGGUCUGCUAAGUUGGAUGUGAAAACUCUGGGCUUAACCCAGAGCCUGCAUUCAAUACUGACAGGCUAGAGUUCUGGAGGGGAUAGCGGAAUUCCUGGUGUAGCGGUGAAAUGCGUAGAUAUCAGGAGGAACACCGGUGGCGAAGGCGGCUAUCUGGACAGAGUCUGACGCUGAGGCGCGAAAGCUAGGGGAGCAAACAGG
rnacentral:rRNA from 1 species